UACGUAGGGUGCAAGCGUUGUCCGGAAUCAUUGGGCGUAAAGCGCGCGUAGGUGGUCAUGUAAGUCCGCUGUGAAAGUCAAAGGCUCAACCUUUGAAAGCCGGUGGAUACUGCAUGACUAGAGUACGGAAGAGGCGAGUGGAAUUCCUGGUGUAGCGGUGGAAUGCGCAGAUAUCAGGAGGAACACCAAUAGCGAAGGCAGCUCGCUGGGACGUUACUGACACUGAUGCGCGAAAGCGUGGGGAGCAAACGGG
rnacentral:rRNA from 1 species